rnacentral:lncRNA from 1 species
GGGCUAACCCCAGGGCUCUGUGCCAAGCAGUCACUCUAAUUUCUGAGUUAACUUCUCAGCCCUUCACAUAUUUUUUAUGUUUGGUUGUAUCAGUAGGUGCAGAACCCACAGAUGGUAUUUUCAAAGAAAGGUCCAUUUCCCACAUCCCCUUUUGAAAUGUAGCUUGUCUCCUUUGCCAUGGAGACUCCAUGAAGUCGAACAUCUCUCCCCCAGCCACUGGAGAUCAACAGCUGGGGAGUGAAUGCAAACCUGCUUGGGAGAUGCACUGUGGAUGCCAACCUGACUGCUUUCAACUUGGUUAUGAUGAAGAAAGAGAAAAGAGUGAGAGGAGGAGGAGAGGAGGCAGCAGCAGCUUGGGAUGUAUUCAGUUGGAGUGCUUGCCUGGUACUCAUAAGGCCAUGGCAUGGCGUCACAUGCAUAUGAUCCUAGUCCUCGGGAGACUGGGGCAAGAGGAUCAGCAGUUGAUGGAGAACUCAAGGCCAGUCUGAGAUAAGACCGUAAGAAUAAACUAACAACAAACAAGAGAGACCAAGCCUGGACAGACAUAUCAUUAUAUCUGCAUAUCUGAGUCCAAAAAGACUUAGUGGGAUCUUCAGAAUCUUCAAGUUUGUUGACUGUGUAAAACCCUUAAUUCCAGUAAGAAGGAAGCUGAGUUCAGAGAAUUUGGCUCAUUCGCUGUCAAGAAUGCUACCAAGCUUGUUUUAGCGGAAGAAUGGAAAAAUGACUGGAUUAGAUGAUACUGAU